rnacentral:rRNA from 1 species
CCUACGGGAGGCAGCAGUGGGGAAUUUUGGACAAUGGGGGCAACCCUGAUCCAGCCAUGCCGCGUGAGUGAAGAAGGCCUUCGGGUUGUAAAGCUCUUUCAGCCGGAACGAAAAGGUUACGGUUAAUAACCGUGACAAAUGACG